rnacentral:rRNA from 1 species
UACGUAGGGUGCAAGCGUUAAUCGGAAUUACUGGGCGUAAAGCGUGCGCAGGCGGUUAUGUAAGACAGGUGUGAAAUCCCCGGGCCUAACUGGGAACUGCAUUUGUGACUGCAUAGCUAGAGUACGGUAGAGGGGAUGGAAUUCCGCGUGUAGCAGUGAAAUGCGCAGAUAUCAGGAGGAACACCGAUGGCGAAGGCAGGUCGCUGGGCCGAUACUGACGUGAGGAGCGAAAAGCGUGGGGGAGGCGAACAGG